GCCUCUGUAGCUCAGCGGUAGAGCUACGGCCUUUUAAGCCGCAGGUCCUGGGUUCGAAUCCCAGCGGAGGCA
rnacentral:tRNA from 1 species